rfam:Cajanus cajan CcLG03_343, whole genome shotgun sequence.
UAAGGCAAAGGGGAGCUCCUUUCAAUCCAAUACGAAGGGCUGAGGAGAGGCAAGAGCUGUCAUCUCAUGCAUUCGGCUACCCUUAAUGUUUCUUUCCAAAUGUUAAGUUUGGCCAUCUGCAUGCUGUGAGAGCAACUCCACCCGCCUGCUUAGCCCUACCAUUGGAUUGAAGGGAGCUCCAUGUUUCACCUCU